CCUACGUGAGGCAGCAGUGGGGAAUAUUGCGCAAUGGGCGAAAGCCUGACGCAGCGACGCCGCGUGAGGGAUGAAGGUCUUCGGAUCGUAAACCUCUGUCAGCAGGGAAGAACGGUCACUGUGCUAAUCAGCAGUGAAUUGACGGUACCUGCAAAGGAAGCACCGGCUAACUACGUGCCAGCAGCCGCGGUAAUACGGAGGGUGCGAGCGUGAAUCGGAAUUACUGGGCGUAAAGCGCUCGUAGGCGGUAUGUCAAGUCAAGGGUGAAAUCCCCGCGCUCAACGUGGGAACUGCCUUUGAAACUGGCAAACUGGAGUGUGUGAGAGUAGAGUUGAAUUCCAGGUGUAGGAGUGAAAUCCGUAGAUAUCUGGAGGAACAUCAGUGGCGAAGGCGACUAUCUGGCACAUAACUGACGCUGAGGAGCGAAAGCGUGGGUAGCAAACAGGAUUAGAUACCCCAGUAGUC
rnacentral:rRNA from 1 species